rnacentral:hammerhead_ribozyme from 1 species
AACUGGUCGAGAGAUGGCGCCACUCUCCUGAUGAGUCCAAGCAGGACGAAACCAGUG